GCCCAAACUAUUUGAAAGAUGACAAGGAUCCAUGUGAAAUACUUUGAAAUAGAAGCCUGGUUGAGUCACAAAUGCAAGAAAUAGUUUUGCAUGGUGAGAGAGAAAAAACAAGGCCUUUAACUAAGACUUUAUCUCUGUAAACCUGAGCUGCAGUUAAUCACACAAUAUAUCAGAGGAAGUGUAAACAGGAAAUCAAAGGAUGUUACAACACUGAAAGCUUUUAGAUUAUGUGUUACAGAAGUUAAGGGAUGUGUCCUGUCAAGAAUGAAGCAAAUGCAUCCGUUAACACAAGACACUUAAAAAAAUAAAAAAAUGUCCUUCAAUUAAGGUCAAAACCUAGGAAGCUGCUACUCAAAAACAAGAGCUGAGUGAGAUGUGCAAAUAGGAAAUGACAAAGGAAUCCCAUAUCCUGGGAGAAAGACGGGUCCCAACCCAGAUGGCUUGCAGGUACGUAAAUGCAACUCCAAAUCUCACACAUAUUUGAUGAAGAGCUAAAUUUGCUAAUUUACCAUGUCUUCAUAUUUUUAACCAAGAGACCUUAGUAUAUCUAUCUGACCAGAAGGGUGAAGUUGAGGCAGUAGGAAGUCUGGACUUUCUACACUGGGAGUUAAUAAUGUUGUCUUCUCAGUGGAUAUAGUCGUUUUUCAGAAUUCAAUUUCUCUGGAAUGUACAGUGACAUAUUUAAAUAGCACUCUGAUUUUCAGCUAACAAUGGGAAGACUAGCUGCAUGUGAUCAGUUUUUUUUGUUUGUUUGUUUGUUUUGUUUUGUUUUGUUUUUUCAGAAUUUGGAAUUUGAUUAGGAAUAAAUAUUGAGAGCAACCCCUGGCCAGUGUGUGCAGGUUGUAAGUGAGUUUUAUCCUUUGGGCUUCUUUUAGGCAAGAGACAUUUAAACACAUGAUGGAAUAAUGUCCAGAUGUUAUGCAGACAGACUACCACAAAUGGAGAAUGAAGACAGAUGAAUGCGUUUUUGUGUUUGGCUAAGCUACUUUGGGGCAUUUUGUAUCUUGGUUCUUGGAAGCAGUAUUAUCACUUCCAGAGUAAAGAAAGACAACAGCAUUACUGCUGACAGUGCUGGAUUUCCAAGCCAUUUAAUACUUCAGACAGAUACCUUGAGCAAAGUGAAGGAACUGCAUUAUAUUGACAUAAUGAGUAAAGACUGAAGGUGUUGGAGUUGGGGAUGGUCCACCCCUCAUUUCUAAAGUGUCAGCACCCUCACUAUUACAAGAACUCAACUAAAUAAAGCAAGAUUAUUGUGUUGGAACUUCCUAAAU
rnacentral:lncRNA from 1 species